GCAACUCAAUCUAAACCUAGGUCACAAGCUUCUUCAAGAACUUCUAAAACGCCACGCCGUUCCAUCGGACUCCACCGCGGUAGCUUUAUCACCGAUGAAUUCAUUCCAUCGGCUCAACGCUUAGUGGUUCGAAAUUAAGGUAGGGUAGAGCAACAAAUUCUGAAAUUGAAAUCCUGUUACGCAUCUAAACCUCAACCUCGAGUCAACUUGCGCACGUAAAAAUGAAGAGGAAGAGCAACAAAUCGUGGAUUGCAAAAAAGCGUAGGAGUAGAACUCACCAGAUCGAUGUGGCGUCGUAUGGAUAACGCGAUCUCGCGACCUCACCCUUGGUGCUUCAUCACGUUCGCAUCUCAGUGCAACCACCAAGUCUUCUUCGGCUACGACGUCGCCCGGUUUUUCAAUCCUCUUCGUGUUCACACACUUCAACGAAGUUCCUAGCACCGCACUUAAUAAUUCGACGGUGGCUUCAUGAUUUAACCAGGCGCGACCUCAACAACCGCUAACGAUAUUGCGACGUUGACGAUAUGAAGAGAGCUGUAUAUCAGAGCAGGAAAGACUACUCAUCCGAUUUGAAUUUGAUGUCGAGCAGAUUAGCGGAAAUCUGCAGAAAGAGAUUUGUAGAGAGUGCGAAUUGAGUCACGGUUGCAGGGUUUUGAUACAGAAUUGAAGGGCGAAGGUGGAAUGAAGAAGAAGAUUCAAGGAGAUGGAUGCAGAACUGCAGAAAGAGGGUGAAGGUUGAAGAAAAAUGAGGAUGAAGAAUCCAUUGAAAAAACUGAGGAGAAUGGUUACACUGCAGAUCGAUGGUUACGUUGCAGGCUGGUGUAUUAGGGCAAAUGAUAGCAAGGUCGUUGAUAGCAUGGCAGCAAGAAAGAUGCUUGGAGUUUUGGAUGUUUGAAAGUCGUGGAGCAUUGGCGUAUGCUAAGGACAAGUUUCAAGUGGAUUUUUAUUGUUGUACUUAGAAUUCAAAGUGUUUUGUACUAGGAUUGUAAAGUGAAUGUUAGAAAUGAAUGUAUGAAUUUGUGUUAAUGUAUGGAAAUGACAAUGUAAUGGAUAUAUUUAGAAAUUGACUAGUUGUAAUGACAUGGUUUGAUUUAUGUUUAGAAA